GACUGCAGCCUGCAACCCGGCUGCACGAAGCCGGAAUCGCUAGUAAUCGCAGAUCAGCAUGCUGCGGUGAAUACGUUCCCGGGCCUUGUACACACCGCCCGUCACACCAUGGGAGUCGGUAACACCCAAAGUUGGUAGUCUAACCGCAAGGAGGACGCCGCCUAAGGUGGGAUUGAUGACUGGGGUGAAGUCGUAACAAGGUACC
rnacentral:rRNA from 1 species